rnacentral:miRNA from 1 species
UGCAAAGCCUUGGUUUAUAUCUAUCUACAAUCUUAUCUUUAUAAGAUUGUAGAUAGAUAUAAACCAAGGCUUUAUA